rnacentral:rRNA from 1 species
CUCCGGGUUGAGCCUGCCGGACCCGACUGCUAUCAGAGUGGGACUAAGCCAUGCGAGUCAACGUAGCAAUACGUGGCAUACGGCUCAGUAACACGUAGUCAACAUGCCCAGGGGACGAGGAUAACCUCGGGAAACUGAGGAUAAACCUCGAUAGGCCAUGAUUUCUGGAAUGAUUCUUGGCUCAAACCUAUAUGGCCCCUGGAUUGGACUGCGGCCGAUCAGGCUGUUGGUGAGGUAAUGGCCCACCAAACCUAUUACCGGUACGGGCUCUGAGAGGAGGAGCCCGGAGAUGGGCACUGAGACAAGGGCCCAGGCCCUAUGGGGCGCAGCAGGCGCGAAACCUCUGCAAUAGGCGAAAGCUUGACAGGGUUACUCUGAGUGAUUUCCGCUAAGGGAAUCUUUUGGCACCUCUAAAAAUGGUGCAGAAUAAGGGGUGGGCAAGUCUGGUGUCAGCCGCCGCGGUAAUACCAGCACCCCGAGUGGUCGGGACGAUUAUUGGGCCUAAAGCAUCCGUAGCCGGUCCUGCAAGUCUUCCGUUAAAUCCAGCUGCUCAACAGAUGGGCUGCGGGAGAUACUACAGGGCUAGGAGGCGGGAGAGGCAAGCGGUACUUUAUGGGUAGGGGUAAAAUCCGCUGAUCCAUAGAAGACCACCAGUGGCGAAGGCGGCUUGCCAGAACGCGCUCGACGGUGAGGGAUGAAAGCUGGGGGAGCAAACCGGAUUAGAUACCCGGGUAGUCCCAGCUGUAAACGAUGCAGACUCGGUGAUGGGUUGGCCUCGCGCCUGCCCAGUGCCGCAGGGAAGCCGUUAAGUCUGCCGCCUGGGGAGUACGGUCGCAAGACUGAAACUUAAAGGAUUGGCGGGGGGAGCA